GCCACCGACUCCAUUUUGUCGGUAGAGGCAGAAGGAGGAGGUCGGGUUGUAGAAGCUGGGGUGGCCGGCAGCUCGCUCAUCGGUGCUCGUGGGCUUUGUCGGUCCGUGCCUCGUCUCUCCCUGGAAAGGGAGGGAGGCUUCGACGUCGAGAGGGAGCCGCUGCCGCCGUAGUUCCGAGCUUGAAGACUUCUCUCAAACUUGUGUGCUGAGGAGACUCAGAUGUUGGCCUCAGCUCCUAGGCUGAACUCAGCAGAUCGGCCCAUGAAAACUUCUGUAUUGAGACAAAGGAAAGGAUCUGUCAGAAAGCAACACUUGUUAUCUUGGGCUUGGCAGCAAGGAAGAGGACAGGUAGUGGAGAUCCUGCAAUCUGAAAAGCAGACUGAAAGGUGACAAAGAAGCUGAAGAUGGGUGGUGGAGAAAGGUAUAACAUUCCAGCCCCUCAAUCUAGAAAUGUUAGUAAGAACCAACAGCAGCUGAACAGACAGAAGACCAAGGAUCAGAAUUCCCAGAUGAAGAUUGUUCAUAAGAAAAAAGAAAGAGGACAUGGUUAUAACUCAUCAGCAGCUGCCUGGCAGGCCAUGCAAAAUGGGGGGAAGAACAAAAAUUUUCCAAAUAAUCAAAGUUGGAAUUCUAGCUUAUCAGGUCCCAGCUUACUUUUUAAAUCUCAAGCUAAUCAGAAUUAUGCUGGUGCCAAAUUUAGUGAGCCGCCAUCACCAAGUGUUCUUCCCAAACCACCAAGCCACUGGGUCCCUGUUUCCUUUAAUCCUUCAGAUAAGGAAAUAAUGACAUUUCAACUUAAAACCUUACUUAAAGUACAGGUAUAAAAUAAGACAAAUGUUUAUGUUCACGGAUAGUUGUCAAUUGGUCUGAAACAAAUUCGCUAGGGAAUCUGUAGAACUGCUAAUUAAUGUAAAAAAAAAAGACUUCAUCUCGUGUUGUGUGCACUGUGAUAUAAUGGUAGUAUCAGUGCAACUUAAACUAAUGAUUGUACUUGAUAUAAAGUGUUCUCAACUGAGUAACUUUUAAGUGGAAACCAAGUUUAGAUUUGGGGAGUGGUAAAGGAAUCAGCUUUUUCUAUUGUUAGGGGAAGAUAGUAAAAGAUAGUAAUUUAUCAUUCAUGGACCAGUAGAUUGUUGAAAGUUGGUGAAUCGGAUUAUAAGCUUCUAGCUAACACAAGGAUUCAGAAUUAGGUAAACAUCUGAAGGUUUAGUAUAUUAGAAACACCCAAACCAGUAAUAUGCUAACAACCUGAUGCACUGCUGAAAGAAAAUGUGAAUUUUUUGUAAUAAUUGCAUUUUAGUGAAUUGUACAGUGGGUGGAAAGGGCAUUUGGAGCUCAUUAGAAUGAGACGUAGUACACCCCAAUGGCCCUGUUUAUUAAAUGUAGUGGAUUAAGUGUCAACAAAUACACCAAAACCAUUUUUUAUAGAAACAGUAUUUAAUGGUCACUCAAUAGCUUUCAAAAUACAUUUUUGUAUUACAGCACUGCACAAGCUAUUCUAAUAGUGAUCUGGCCUCCUCAUUCCUGCAAAGCUUGCUUUGGGGAGUUGGAUAAUGUGAAAAUUUUAAGUACGUAAGGGAGAAAGCCAUGUAAAUAUCUGUAAUAAACUUGUAGCAUAUGUAAAGUUUUCUUGGCCUUUAUCUUACAAAAAUGGAAUAUUUUAGUAUGAAUUUGCUGAAUGUAAGACCGUGGACUGUUUUUUAUAGUAUGGCCUAAUUUUAAAGGUCCAAAAUAACUUGUUUUAAAGUUUGCCCUUGUGCUAAAGUGCCAGUGUAUGUAUAUUAUACUUGAUUUGGUUGUAAACUAUAUUUCAAAGUAAAUCCUAGUGUAAUAAGUUUUAUAACUAAAAAGGUUUAAGCUGCUAAAACUAUUUUUAAGAGAUGUGAAAUGCAGUAUGGGACUAUCUUUUUUUCCUCCUGUAAGCCCAAAGAUUAGAGUCCCUCCAACCUUACAGAUUUUUAGCUUUCACAAUCUUACAACCUAGGAUACAGGUAGUUUCGAGUUAUGGUGCCAGUGAUGUUUGGUUUUUGUUUGGUCAAAGGGGUAGGUGCAACCCAACGGACCACUUAUGCAAAAGAUGUAAACUCUUGCAUAAUACAUUGAUAACAUGUUUUGCCAACUUUAAAUGCUUAAACGUAAGCGAAACCGGUAGCAAGUAUGUGGGUCAGUUUAAAAAUUUUGAUUGUUAAUGCCCUAUUUUCUAAUUUGGCACCUCUUUUGAUGCCUAAGCAGCUAAGCAGAUGCCUAAGCUGUAUUUCUCCAAAUAAAUCAAGAUGAAGUACUGCCCAAGUUAAAUAUUGAUAGCCUAAAGACAAGUUUAUGUAGUACUUAAUGUACAUGAUAUGAAUUUGAAGCAUAAAAUUAAAAUUUUUUCCCCA